rnacentral:rRNA from 1 species
GACGGGGGGGGCAAGUGUUCUUCGGAAUGACUGGGCGUAAAGGGCGCGUAGGCGGCUCAUGAAGGCUGUGGUGAAAGUCCGGGGCUCAACCUCGGAUCGGCCGUGGCGACUCGUGGGCUGGAGCACUGUAGAGGCGGGUGGAAUUCCGGGUGUAGCGGUGGAAUGCGUAGAGAUCCGGAAGAACACCAGUGGCGAAGGCGGCCCGCUGGGCAGUGGCUGACGCUGAGGCGCGACAGCGUGGGGAGCAAACAGG